GACGAACGCUGGCGGCGUGCUUAACACAUGCAAGUCGAACGGAAAGGCUCCAGCUUGCUGGAGUACUCGAGUGGCGAACGGGUGAGUAACACGUGGGUAAUCUGCCCUGCACUCUGGGAUAAGCCUGGGAAACUGGGUCUAAUACUGGAUAUGACCUUUCUCCUUAUGGGGUUUGGUGGAAAGUUUUUCGGUGUAGGAUGGGCCCGCGGCCUAUCAGCUUGUUGGUGGGGUGAUGGCCUACCAAGGCGACGACGGGUAGCCGGCCUGAGAGGGUGAUCGGCCACAUUGGGACUGAGAUACGGCCCAGACUCCUACGGGAGGCAGCAGUGGGGAAUAUUGCACAAUGGGCGGAAGCCUGAUGCAGCGACGCCGCGUGAGGGAUGACGGCCUUCGGGUUGUAAACCUCUUUCAGCAGGGACGAAGCGUAAGUGACGGUACCUGCAGAAGAAGCACCGGCUAACUACGUGCCAGCCGCCGCGGUAA
rnacentral:rRNA from 1 species